rnacentral:rRNA from 1 species
GCCAACACUGGGACUGAGAUACUGCCCAGACUUCUACGGAAGGCUGCAGUCGAGAAUCAUUCGCAAUGGGCGAAAGCCUGACGAUGCGACGCCGUGUGAGCGAUGAAGGCCUUAGGGUCGUAAAGCUCUUUCGCUUGGGAACAAGAGAAGCUGACAAAUAAUCAGCCAAUUUGAGGGUACCAGGUAAAGAAGCAC